UUAGCUCCAUCGCAACGAGGCACGAGCAGGAGGCUGGUCAUGUUUUUCGACAAUGUGGUGUUCGCCGGAGUGCUGACAGUCGGCCUCAUGGUUCUGUUUUUCGCAGGUUUUGGAUUCUUCAUCUGGAAAGACGCAAACAAGCGUAAAAAACCUUAAGCCUUUCCAGGGCAACGAGCACGCAAGGCAUUUUGGGCAACUUCGGUUGCCCUUUUUUUUG
rnacentral:sRNA from 1 species